UACGGGGGGGGCAAGCGUUGUUCGGAAUUACUGGGCGUAAAGCGUGCGCAGGCGGUGAUGUAAGUCAGAUGUGAAAUCCCCGGGCUCAACCUGGGAACUGCAUUUGUGACUGCAUCGCUGGAGUACGGCAGAGGGGGAUGGAAUUCCGCGUGUAGCAGUGAAAUGCGUAGAUAUGCGGAGGAACACCGAUGGCGAAGGCAAUCCCCUGGGCCUGUACUGACGCUCAUGCACGAAAGCGUGGGGAGCAAACAGG
rnacentral:rRNA from 1 species